GACCGCGUAGCUCAGUUGGAAGAGCAUUGGGCUGGUAUUCCAAAGGUCGUAGGUUCGAAUCCCACCGUGGUCG